rnacentral:rRNA from 1 species
ACUCUAAAGCGGUGGAUCACUCGGCUCAUGGGUCGAUGAAGAACGCAGCAACUGUGCGUCAUCGUGUGAACUGCAGGACACAUGAACAUCGACAUUUUGAACGCAUAUCGCAGUCCAUGCUGUUAUGUACUUUAAUUAAUUUUAUAGUGCUGCUUGGACUACAUAUGGUUGAGGGUUGUUAAGACUAUGCUAAUUAAGUUGCUUAUAAAUUUUUAUAAGCAUAUGGUAUAUUAUUGGAUAAAUAUAAUAAUUUUUAUUCAUAAUAUUAAAAAAUAAAUGAAAAACAUUAUCUCACAUUUGAAUGUGAAAAACGAAGAGAAAUAUUUUCUUUUUCAAUCAAAUAAUACUGAGAAAUGUCUAGCAUAAAAAAUUGAAAUAUUUUUCAUCUAGAAUUGUCUCUUAUUAAUGAUUCGGAAAUAGAAAAAUCUUGGUUAUGUUAUUAUUCUUCGUUGGUUCGUUAAAAAUGGAUAAAUAAAAACUUUGCAUACAAGAAUUAAUAAAAAUGUUAUAACGAAUUUAAUUAAAUGUUUUAUCAUUAUAUAUAAAGAAUUUAUGGCAAGAUAAAGUUAUAUACAACCUCAACUCAUAUGGGACUACCCCCUGAAUUUAAGCAUAUUAAUUAGGGGAGGAAAAGAAACUAACAAGGAUUUUCUUAGUAGCGGCGAGCGAAAAGAAAACAGUUCAGCACUAAGUCACUUUGUCUAUAUGGCAAAUGUGAGAUGCAGUGUAUGGAGCGUCAAUAUUCUAGUAUGAGAAAUUAACGAUUUAAGUCCUUCUUAAAUGAGGCCAUUUACCCAUAGAGGGUGCCAGGCCCGUAUAACGUUAAUGAUUACUAGAUGAUGUUUCCAAAGAGUCGUGUUGCUUGAUAGUGCAGCACUAAGUGGGUGGUAAACUCCAUCUAAAACUAAAUAUAACCAUGAGACCGAUAGUAAACAAGUACCGUGAGGGAAAGUUGAAAAGAACUCUGAAUAGAGAGUUAAACAGUACGUGAAACUGCUUAGAGGUUAAGCCCGAUGAACCUGAAUAUCCGUUAUGGAAAAUUCAUCAUUAAAAUUGUAAUAUUUAAAUAAUAUUAUGAGAAUAGUGUGCAUUUUUUCCAUAUAAGGACAUUGUAAUCUAUUAGCAUAUACCAAAUUUAUCAUAAAAUAUAACUUAUAGUUUAUUCCAAUUAAAUUGCUUGCAUUUUAACACAGAAUAAAUGUUAUUAAUUUGAUAAAGUGCUGAUAGAUUUAUAUGAUUACAGUGCGUUAAUUUUUCGGAAUUAUAUAAUGGCAUAAUUAUCAUUGAUUUUUGUGUUUAUUAUAUGCACUUGUAUGAUUAACAAUGCGAAAGAUUCAGGAUACCUUCGGGACCCGUCUUGAAACACGGACCAAGGAGUCUAACAUAUGUGCAAGUUAUUGGGAUAUAAACCUAAUAGCGUAAUUAACUUGACUAAUAAUGGGAUUAGUUUUUUAGCUAUUUAUAGCUAAUUAACACAAUCCCGGGGCGUUCUAUAUAGUUAUGUAUAAUGUAUAUUUAUAUUAUUUAUGCCUCUAACUGGAACGUACCUUGAGCAUAUAUGCUGUGACCCGAAAGAUGGUGAACUAUACUUGAUCAGGUUGAAGUCAGGGGAAACCCUGAUGGAAGACCGAACAGUUCUGACGUGCAAAUCGAUUGUCAGAAUUGAGUAUAGGGGCGAAAGACCAAUCGAACCAUCUAGUAGCUGGUUCCUUCCGAAGUUUCCCUCAGGAUAGCUGGUGCAUUUUAAUAUUAUAUAAAAUAAUCUUAUCUGGUAAAGCGAAUGAUUAGAGGCCUUAGGGUCGAAACGAUCUUAACCUAUUCUCAAACUUUAAAUGGGUAAGAACCUUAACUUUCUUGAUAUGAAGUUCAAGGUUAUGAUAUAAUGUGCCCAGUGGGCCACUUUUGGUAAGCAGAACUGGCGCUGUGGGAUGAACCAAACGUAAUGUUACGGUGCCCAAAUUAACAACUCAUGCAGAUACCAUGAAAGGCGUUGGUUGCUUAAAACAGCAGGACGGUGAUCAUGGAAGUCGAAAUCCGCUAAGGAGUGUGUAACAACUCACCUGCCGAAGCAACUAGCCCUUAAAAUGGAUGGCGCUUAAGUUGUAUACCUAUACAUUACCGCUAAAGUAGAUGAUUUAUAUUACUUGUGAUAUAAAUUUUGAAACUUUUAGUGAGUAGGAAGGUACAAUGGUAUGCGUAGAAGUGUUUGGCGUAAGCCUGCAUGGAGCUGCCAUUGGUACAGAUCUUGGUGGUAGUAGCAAAUAAUCGAAUGAGACCUUGGAGGACUGAAGUGGAGAAGGGUUUCGUGUGAACAGUGGUUGAUCACGAGUUAGUCGGUCCUAAGUUCAAGGCGAAAGCCGAAAAUUUUCAAGUAAAACAAAAAUGCCUAACUAUAUAAACAAAGCGAAUUAUAAUACACUUGAAUAAUUUUGAACGAAAGGGAAUACGGUUCCAAUUCCGUAAACCUGUUGAGUAUCCGUUUGUUAUUAAAUAUGGGCCUCGUGCUCAUCCUGGCAACAGGAACGACCAUAAAGAAGCCGUCGAGAGAUAUCGGAAGAGUUUUCUUUUCUGUUUUAUAGCCGUACUACCAUGGAAGUCUUUCGCAGAGAGAUAUGGUAGAUGGGCUAGAAGAGCAUGACAUAUACUGUUGUGUCGAUAUUUUCUCCUCGGACCUUGAAAAUUUAUGGUGGGGACACGCAAACUUCUCAACAGGCCGUACCAAUAUCCGCAGCUGGUCUCCAAGGUGAAGAGUCUCUAGUCGAUAGAAUAAUGUAGGUAAGGGAAGUCGGCAAAUUAGAUCCGUAACUUCGGGAUAAGGAUUGGCUCUGAAGAUUGAGAUAGUCGGGCUUGAUUGGGAAACAAUAACAUGGUUUAUGUGCUCGUUCUGGGUAAAUAGAGUUUCUAGCAUUUAUGUUAGUUACUUGUUCCCCGGAUAGUUUAGUUACGUAGCCAAUUGUGGAACUUUCUUGCUAAAAUUUUUAAGAAUACUAUUUGGGUUAAACCAAUUAGUUCUUAUUAAUUAUAACGAUUAUCAAUUAACAAUCAAUUCAGAACUGGCACGGACUUGGGGAAUCCGACUGUCUAAUUAAAACAAAGCAUUGUGAUGGCCCUAGCGGGUGUUGACACAAUGUGAUUUCUGCCCAGUGCUCUGAAUGUCAAAGUGAAGAAAUUCAAGUAAGCGCGGGUCAACGGCGGGAGUAACUAUGACUCUCUUAAGGUAGCCAAAUGCCUCGUCAUCUAAUUAGUGACGCGCAUGAAUGGAUUAACGAGAUUCCGCUGUUGCUUGUCGUAAGAGACGACUAAUACAGCGAU